UGAGAUACGGCCCAGACUCCUACGGGAGGCAGCAGUGGGGAAUAUUGCACAAUGGGCGGAAGCCUGAUGCAGCAACGCCGCGUGCGGGAUGACGGCCUUCGGGUUGUAAACCGCUUUCGCCUGUGACGAAGCGUGAGUGACGGUAAUGGGUAAAGAAGCACCGGCUAACUACGUGCCAGCAGCCGCGGUGAUACGUAGGGUGCGAGCGUUGUCCGGAUUUAUUGGGCGUAAAGGGCUCGUAGGUGGUUGAUCGCGUCGGAAGUGUAAUCUUGGGGCUUAACCCUGAGCGUGCUUUCGAUACGGGUUGACUUGAGGAAGGUAGGGGAGAAUGGAAUUCCUGGUGGAGCGGUGGAAUGCGCAGAUAUCAGGAGGAACACCAGUGGCGAAGGCGGUUCUCUGGGCCUUUCCUGACGCUGAGGAGCGAAAGCGUGGGGAGCGAACAGGCUUAGAUACCCUGGUAGUCCACGCUGUAAACGGUGGGUACUAGGUGUGGGGUCCAUUCCACGGGUUCCGUGCCGUAGCUAACGCUUUAAGUACCCCGCCUGGGGAGU
rnacentral:rRNA from 1 species